GGUGGUAUAGUGUAGUGGUUAUCACUCAGGAUUUUGAAGAGUAUUUCCUGAAACCCAGGUUCGAACCCUGGUACCACCU
rfam:Fistulina hepatica ATCC 64428 unplaced genomic scaffold FISHEscaffold_97, whole genome shotgun sequence.